GACGUAGGCGGCCAGGUAAGUGAGACGUGAAAUCCUUUGGCUCAACCGAAGACCUGCGUUUCAAACUGCCUGGCUUGAGUCCGGGAGGGGAGACGGGAAUUCCUGGUGUAGCGGUGAAAUGCGCAGAUAUCAGGAAGAACACCGGUGGCGAAGGCGCGUCUCUGGACCGGUACUGACGCUAAGGUCCGAAAGCGUGGGUAGCAAACA
rnacentral:rRNA from 1 species